UGCGCAGUUAAAUCCGGAAGUAUCAAAAAAUACAGAAAAAAAAAACAAAACACCGAAUGCAUCUAACUGACGAUUAUCAUUAUCUCUUUUCUCUUCAUAUAGCCUACAAUGAUACAUCUGUCUAUAGAUGUAUGUUAUAAUUUGAUUUGAUCGGUGUCCUAACAAUUUAGUGGACUACAUUUAACAAAGGACUGUAAGAUAUGGCUCCUGUACCUGAUGAUCCCACAAAAAAGAAGUCAGAAAUAGAUCGUUUAAGUGGUCCCCCUAUUUCUAUGACUGUGAGUAGCUCUGAUAGUGACGAAGGAGAAGUGGCAGAGAAUGAAUAUCAGCUAUUGCCACAGUCUCCAGAUUUAGCUGAACCAUAUAAUAAUGGUACAGUGGAAACACAACAGAAUAAUGGCAGUAGUCUAGUAUUAAAUGAACAAGAACAAAAUACAAGUGCAAUAGAGACAAUUGAAAGUAAAGUAAAAGACAACAGUGUAGAAGAGGAGACUGAUUUAGCAGACACUGCAAGUAACACUGAACCAACAUUUAAGGCGCAAAGUAUUGAUGUAGAAAAGAAGGAAAGAUGUGAAUUUUGGAAUAAUACUCCGACAAAGAAUGAUAUAACAAUAGAUCAAGAGAAAGCUAAUACAAUUAGAGAGGCCAUGUCUGGCUUCAAGCUUCCAACUGCCAGCAUUCCCCCGUGGGCUUCUAAUAUAACAGAGAACAAUUGGCUAAAGAAAUUAUCAGAAAUUGGUGGGAAUAAACAUUCUAGUAAUGAAGAUGAUAAAUCCUAACAACAUAGUCUUGCUUAAAGACUGUGGACCCUCUUCCUUCCCAACAAAUCACAUCAUUUGGGAGAGGUAUGUAGUGGGGAUGGGCUCACAAGGGCCUGUUGCUGGACUAUUAACAAGAGAACAUAACCAUAUUUGUUUAGAAAGCAACUGAAAACAUACAUUGUUAAUAAGAGGAACUGAAAACACUAAAAAAUACCAGUCUGAUAAGAGCAGGGCUGAAAAUAUUGUGGUGUAUGAGAUCUUAUAAGAAAGGAACUGAAAAUGCUAUUAAAUACCAGUCUUAUAAAAGAAGGACUGAAUGAUUAUUUCACAACAGAGUCUUAGUGUAAUAUAUCAGAUUUACUUGAAGCGAGGUAGGCUAUUGAAAACUUUGUUACAUACUAGUCUAUGUAUUAUAUAAUGUAAUUUAUAAUGUGUAAUAUUUGAUGUUACGUUUUUAUAAAAAAAAAUGGAUGAACUUACAUCAAAGGAAAUUGUUU
rnacentral:misc_RNA from 1 species